GAUGAACGCUAGCUACAGGCUUAACACAUGCAAGUCGAGGGGAAACGAUAGAGAAAGCUUGCUUUUUCUAGGCGUCGACCGGCGCACGGGUGAGUAACGCGUAUCCAACCUGCCCCACCACUUGGGGAUAACCUUGCGAAAGUAAGACUAAUACCCCAAUGACGUCUCUAGAAGACAUCUGAAAGAGAUUAAAGAUUUAUCGGUGAUGGAUGGGGAUGCGUCUGAUUAGCUUGUUGGCGGGGUAACGGCCCACCAAGGCGACGAUCAGUAGGGGUUCUGAGAGGAAGGUCCCCCCACAUUGGAACUGAGACACGGUCCAAACUCCUACGGGAGGCAGCCAGUUGAGGGAAUACUUGGGUCAAAUGGACGAGAGUCUGAACCAGCCAAGUAGCGUGCAGGAAGACGGCCCGUAUGGGUUGUAAACUGCUUUUAUAAGGGAAUAAAGUGAGUCUCGUGAGACUUUUUGCAUGUACCUUAUGAAUAAGGACCGGCUAAUUCCGUGCCAGCAGCC
rnacentral:rRNA from 1 species